UAACACACAAACAUGCAUGAAGUCCCAUGACUUACCUUAACCUAAUACAUGUUUCAAGUUAACUCCAAUAGCCAAGUCACUUAACUGGUUGACUUGACCGAAGUUCCCCACGAUAAGUUUAAUCGCAUCAAUACUACAACUUCAACUCCUAACUAUUUCCUAUAAACAUCCACAUAACAAGGGUCUAUCCACAUAAAAAAUGGUCUAUUUAUAUCUUGAGCAAGCUAAGCUAUUUGAUAAAUAAAAGUCAUACCGAUCUCAAAAGGUUAAAAUAAGGUCAGAAAUUGCUUCAUAGGAUUUAGUAUAUUAUCCAGAUAUCGAGCCACCAAGCUGAGCCGCGAGAAGAGACGGAGCCGGGGACCUGAGCCGCGUUUGCGCGCAUGUGUAAAGUCGAAGGCACGCAUUUCGUCUGGGCGCGAAUCGUGUAUCCGCUGGGCCGUCAACUCCACUUGGGCUGAAGAAGCUGUGAGCUGGACCGUCUGGUCGCAUGGACUGGGCCGACGUUUUCAGUCAGGCCGAAACAGAAUGGGCUGGACAGUGGGCCGUAAGCGACUGGUUGGGCUAUGCAUGUUCUCGGGUGUAUAGUUGCUGACCCGACCCGUAUCCGAUACCUCUUCUUCCUUACCCGAGAAAACACGAAAACCCUAAAUCGAUUCCCCUUUUCUGAAUCCGACGAGACUGAACGCCAUUCACGUUGAUUCGCACCAUUUUGUGACCUCCUGUUGACACAACGCCUACACGGUAUUUCUCUGCUCCGAUUCCUCAAACUCCUCCUCGUAAAAUCUCCAAACUCCAAAAGUCUCUCUGUUUUCUCUCUCAAUCUCGGGUUAAAAAGCAUGGAAAAGGAAAGAAAAUUUGCUCAAAUCAGCCGCUUGUACUCCGAUUUUGGCCGAGAGUUGUUCACAACAAACACUCACUCCGACUAAGAAUAUUCAUUUCAGCAUUCACAUCGUCCUAUUUCAUGAAGGAUCGAGAAUGAACGGAAGGAUAGAUUCGGCUCAACUUCCAUAAAAAUCUUGAGUAGAUUCAGGUUGGAAAUCAGAGUCGUGAGACCCCACAUUAGUUGGGAACGAGAACAAA